GGGGGGGGGGGGGGGGGGGGGUGGGAGGGGCAGGGGGAACGGUGGAGCGCCUGGCUUGUUGGGGGGGGUGGGGGAGGGGCGAACGGGGGAGUAACCCGUGAGUACCCUGCCCCCUUCUGCGGGAUAACCGCAUGAAGGUGUGGCUCAUACGAGCUAGUCUGUGUCGGUGGCAUGAUGGGUCUGGGAAGGAGAUGGUGUCGGUGGGGGAUGGGCUCGCGGCCUAUCAGCGUGGUGGUGGGGUGAUGGCCUACCAAGGCGGUGAGGGGUAGACGGCCUGAGCGGGUGGAAGGUCACACUGGGACUGAGACACGGCCCAGACUCGUACGGGAGGCAGCAGUGGGGAAUAGUGCACAAUGGGCGCAAGACUGAUGCAGCGACGCCGCGUGAGGGAUGGAGGCAUUCGUGUUGUGAACCUCUUUCGACAGUGAAGCAGGCCUGCCGCGUUUGUGGGUGGGUUGACGGUAGCUGGAUAAGAAGCGCCGGCUAACUACGUG
rnacentral:rRNA from 1 species